UACCGAGCGGUUGGGCGUUUAUCUGCUAGAACUUCGUUCCAUUACCAGUGACUGUGUGUGUGUGCGUGCGUUGCGUCCGUAUAUGAAUACAUAUGUGUGUGUAUGGUGUGGCAACAACAAUUUGUUAACGCACACACUUACGCGCAGUUAACGAACGCAACUUGGCCCUUAAAAAGUCCAUCCAACCGAGAGCAAUACAAAUACAAAUCACAAAGUGCCAUCGCAAAACAAACAUAAACUCCAAAACGUGCUAAAAAUUGUAAAAAUCGACAGCGAAUAAAGAAAUAUCAAAGAAUUUGCGGCGAAAGUUGAGGAGUGUGUUGUUCACCCAAAGUGUUUCGAGUGUAUCCGAGUCUUUUAAUGUGCCACCCGCAAGAUGACAUCGCAUUCCUACUAUAAAGACCGCCUGGGCUUCGAUCCCAAUGAGCAGCAGCCGGGCAGCAACAACUCCAUGAAGCGGAGCAGCUCCCGCCAGACGACGCACCACCAUCAGAGCUACCAUCAUGCCACCACCAGUAGCAGUCAGUCGCCGGCAAGAAUCUCCGUUUCACCGGGUGGUAACAAUGGAACGCUGGAGUACCAGCAGGUCCAGCGGGAGCAGCGGGAUCGGGAGCUGUACAGCAGCAACGGCAGUCAUCACCACCACCACCAGCCGCACCACCAGCAGCAGCACCACCAUCAUCGCCACUCGGCGACGGGCAGUGCAUCCUCGCUGUACGAGAACAGCAGCAGUAGUCCGGCUGCUCCCAAGAAGGCCAAGCACUCAUCCACCCAGGCACAGCCGCAGGGUGGCUACGAGGAUGCACUCACCCAGUUUAAAGACGAACGCGAUGCCAUUCAGAAGAAGACUUUCACAAAAUGGGUGAACAAACAUCUGAAAAAGCAUUGGAAGUAUGCUAAGACCUAUACUAUGCUACAUGUUUGUGUAACCACAAAUGGCAUACCCUGUUGUUCUCAGUCUGCCAAUCGUCGUGUGGUGGACUUGUUCGAAGAUCUGCGCGAUGGUCACAAUUUACUUUCACUCCUGGAGGUGCUAUCUGGCGAACACCUGCCACGCGAGAAGGGUAAAAUGCGUUUCCAUAUGCUGCAGAAUGCACAAAUGGCACUGGACUUUUUGCGCUACAAGAAGAUCAAACUGGUCAACAUACGCGCCGAGGAUAUUGUGGAUGGCAAUCCCAAGUUGACCCUGGGCCUGAUCUGGACAAUUAUAUUGCACUUCCAGAUCUCCGAUAUUGUUGUGGGCAAAGAGGACAACGUAUCCGCUCGGGAGGCUCUGCUGCGCUGGGCACGUCGCUCCACUGCUCGGUAUCCGGGCGUACGUGUCAACGACUUUACAUCGUCGUGGCGAGAUGGAUUGGCUUUCUCGGCGUUGGUGCACCGCAACCGACCGGACUUGCUUGACUGGCGAAAGGCAAGGAACGAUCGGCCAAGGGAGCGCCUGGAGACCGCCUUCCACAUUGUGGAGAAGGAGUACGGAGUUACGCGCCUGCUGGAUCCUGAGGAUGUGGAUACCAACGAGCCGGAUGAGAAGUCCCUCAUCACGUACAUUUCAUCGCUGUACGAUGUGUUCCCGGAGCCACCGUCUAUUCAUCCACUCUUCGACAUGGAGUCACAACGUCGCGUGCAUGAAUACCGCGACCUGGCACAGCAGUUCAUCUACUGGUGCCGCGAGAAGACCGCCUACCUGCAGGAGCGUUCCUUCCCGCCUACGCUUAUAGAGAUGAAGCGUCUGCUGAGCGAUCUGCAGCGUUUCCGCAGCGAGGAAGUGAGCGCCCGCAAGCGCGAGAAAUCCAAGCUCAUUCAGAUCUACAAGGAGCUGGAGCGCUACUUCGAAACGGUUGGUGAAGUCGACGUAGAGGCCGAACUGCGGCCGGAUGCCAUCGAGAAGGCGUGGUAUCGCAUGAACACGGCGCUGCAGGAUCGCGAGAUUAUUCUUCAGCAGGAAAUUGAGCGACUAGAACGGCUGCAACGACUGGCCGAUAAGGUUCAGCGCGAGAUUAAGCAUGUAGAUCAGAAGCUGACCGAUUUAGAGACUCGUAUUGGCGAGGAGGGUCGGCGCAUCGAGCGUCUGCAUCCCGUUGACGCAAAGAGCAUUGUCGAGGCGCUUGAAACCGAGAUCCGGCACCUGGAGGAACCCAUCCAGGACAUGAACCAGGACUGCCACGUGCUCAACGAGGGUCGCUAUCCCCAUGUCAGUGAGCUGCACAAGAAGGUCAACAAAUUGCACCAGCGCUGGGCUCAACUGCGCACCAAUUUCCACACGAACCUGGUACAGAAGCUGUCCGGUUUGAAGUAUCCCGUCCACGAGACCACGGUGACGCGUCAAACGCGCAUGGUGGUCGAGUCCCGUCAGAUCGACACGAAUCCCCAUUUCCGCGAUCUCCAGGAGCACAUUGAGUGGUGCCAAAACAAGUUGAAACAAUUGCUUGCCGCUGACUAUGGCAGUGACCUGCCGUCGGUUAAAGAGGAACUGGAUCGUCAACAGCACGAGCACAAGAUCAUUGAUCAGUUCCACACGAAAAUACUCAACGACGAACGCCAGCAGACCAAGUUCUCCGGAGAUGAGCUGGCAUUGUACCAGCAGCGUCUCAAUCAGCUGCAGAAGGUGUACGCCGAGUUGCUUAGCACCUCGACGAAGCGUUUGUCCGAUUUGGACUCGCUGCAGCACUUCCUGGGACAGGCCUCGGCGGAACUUCAGUGGCUUAACGAAAAGGAGCAGGUGGAGAUUACGCGCGACUGGGCGGACAAACAACUCGAUCUUCCCUCCGUGCACAAGUACUACGAGCGUGCAUUUGGUAAUGGCGACGAGAACCUAAUGUCCGAACUGGAAAAGCGUGAGAUGCAUUUUGCCACCAUCCUGGAUCGUGGAGAAGCCCUGUUGAACCAACAGCAUCCGGCCUCCAAGUGCAUCGAAGCCCAUCUGACAGCCCUGCAACAACAAUGGGCAUGGCUACUGCAGCUGACUCUCUGCUUGGAGGUUCAUUUGAAACACGCCACGGAGUACCAUCAGUUCUUUGGCGAGAUCAAGGAUGCCGAGCAGUGGCUGGCCAAGCGUGACGAAAUACUCAACAGCAAGUUCUCACAGUCCGAUUUUGGCUUGGACCAGGGUGAAACCCUUCUCAGGGGAAUGCAGGAUCUGCGCGAGGAACUGAAUGCCUUUGGCGAGACAGUGGCGACACUGCAGCGAAGGGCCCAGACAGUGGUGCCUCUAAACAAGCGACGCCAGCCGGUUAAUCGACAAGGACCCGUGCAGGCCAUCUGUGCCUACAAACAGCAGGGUCAACUGCAGAUCGAAAAGGGCGAGACUGUAACGCUCCUGGACAAUUCCGGACGUGUAAAGUGGCGCGUGCGCACCGCCAAUGGUCAGGAAGGACCAAUACCGGGAGCUUGCCUGCUACUUCCACCUCCCGACCAGGAGGCCAUCGAUGCCGCCGAACGUCUGAAGCGACUGUUCGAUCGAUCCGUAGCUCUGUGGCAGAAGAAGCAUCUGCGUCUGCGCCAGAACAUGAUCUUCGCCACCAUUCGUGUGGUUAAGGGCUGGGACUUUGACCAGUUCUUGGCCAUGGGUCCUGAGCAGCGCACGGCCAUCCGACGUGCCCUCAACGACGAUGCCGACAAAUUGCUGAGCGAGGGUGAUCCAAACGAUCCGCAGCUGCGACGCCUGCGCCGCGAAAUGGACGAGGUCAAUCGCUUGUUCGAUGAGUUCGAAAAGCGUGCUCGCGCCGAAGAGGAGAGCAAACAGGCCAGUCGCAUCUUCACCGAGGAAUGCAUUGCCAUCAAGAGCAAACUGGAAGACAUGGCCCGUGAGCUGGAUCAGAUUAUACUGGCUCCGUUGCCACGUGAUUUGGACUCUUUGGAGCAUGUGCUCGAAAUUCAUUCGGACUAUGAGCGCAGGUUGCACCUUUUGGAGCCUGAGUUGAAGCAUCUGCAGGAGACUUUCCGAACGAUUGCAUUGAAGACGCCAGUGCUGAAGAAGAGCCUUGACAACCUCAUGGAGCUGUGGAAGGAGCUGAACACUCAGAGUGGCCUGCACAAGGACCGCUUGAAGCUGCUUGAGGCCUCGCUGGCUGGUCUGGAGGACAAUGAGCAUGUGAUUUCCGAGCUGGAGAACGAGCUGGCCAGGCACCAGGAUCUGCCAUCGACAACUGAGGGCCUACAGCAGGUGUUUAAGCAACUGAACCAUAUGCAGGACAUCAUUACACAACAGCAGCCGCAAAUGGAUAAAAUGAACGAUGCGGCCGAUCAGCUGGGACGCAUGGGAGUGCCAACCAAGGUGCUGGGCGACCUAAAGCGACUGCACUCGAACGUGGAGCGCCUGAACACGCGCUGGAGUGCGGUGUGCAAUCAAUUGGGCGAAAGAAUGCGCUCAUGCGAAACGGCUAUCGGGCUGAUGAAGAAUCUCCAGUCGAGCGUGCAAGUGGAGGAAUCAUGGGUGGAUGGCACCACGCAGGGACUGUCCGCCAUGCCCACCGCCACUUCGGCGUACGAACUAGACAAACUGCUCGGAGCUGCAAUCGAACGAAAACCAAAAAUCGAAAAUGUCAACGUAGCUGGAGGACGACUUAUACGUGAAGCCAAGAUCUACGAUGGUAAAUGCCUACGCUUCGUGGACUGGCUGGUCGAGGCCCGUCCGUCGUUCUCGCCGCCUCGCCGGGAUCUCCGGCCGGCGGAUAGCGAUCCGGGCGCCACACAGUAUUACAGCCAACGUCUGGACAACCUAAAUACGAAGUACGACAGAUUGCUGGAACAACUGUCGCAGAGGCUAAAAACUGCAAUCGAAGUCAAUGGCAGCGAUGGUCUGCAAUACGCUGAGAGUCUACAGAAACCGCUCAAGACCUUUAGGGUUGACUUCAGUGCGGGCAGCGUGCCAACUGGCGAUGGCUACGCUGCGCGCCAGGAGGAUCUCUACACCACUACCUACAGCACCACACAAAUCAGCUCAACGAAGACAACGAAAAGCUCUACGAAGAGCGUCUACGGUAGCGAUGGCUUGGACGCCGCUAGUCAGGACGUUAGCACCGCUAUCCUGCCACAAUCGCAGAUCCAAUUCAAUGAAAUCCGGACGCUCAAGCGCUCGCAACAGCUGGGUGGCCAUUCCGUGCUGGAUAUAGCCGGAAUACGCGAUCCGCGUACGGGUCGUGUUCUGACCAUCGGGGAAGCCAUCCAGCUUCGCAUUCUGGACGUGCGCACUGGCGAGAUGCUGGUGGGCGAUCGCCGCAUCACGCUGGAACAAGCUGCCGACCAAGGACUGAUAGACGUGCAGCUGGCAAAGCAGUUGCUUGAGCCCGGUGCCGGCCGAGAUGCUAACGGACGGGAGCUGUCGCUCCUGGAGGUUAUUCAGCGCGAGAUUAGCGAAGCGGAAUCCGGUUACGAGACGGCUGAGAAGCGGAUCAAGGUAAACAACACGAUCACCGUAGAGCAAGCGUCCGGGGAGCUGGGCUCUCCCGAGAAUCCACGCAACAUUGCCGACGCCAUUACCGCGGGGAGUGUGGACACCAAGACCGGCCUGUAUCGCGUCAAGUCCGGACAGACGAUCAGCCUGGCGGAGGCCUACGAGCGCGGCUACCUCAUCCGGCACGAGUCGGUGACAAUCAAGUCGAAUGCGCUGUGCCUGAGCGAUGCGAUUGCGCAUGGCCUGGUCGAUGGCGCCGGCUGGAUAGCGGAUCGCAACUCCGGCGACAAGUUCCGGCUGGAUUCGGCCAUUGCCAAUCAACUAAUAGAUGCGAGUGUGCGCGAAGUGGUGGACGCGAAACGCGAUACAAAGAUCACACUGCAGGAGGCACUGCAGUCGGGCGUUCUGAAUGCCAAAACGGGUCGGUACGUGAACGAGGUGACCAAGGAGAAGUUAACCUUCGCAGAGGCGCGCAACCGUCAGUUGAUCGUAAAACCGUACACGCUAAAGGACAUCUGCGAUCUGAACCUGCUCGAUAAACAGGCCCAGAUCACGAGUCCCAUGCGACGCGAAAAGUUGAGCAUUAUGCAGGCCAUCGAGGCCGGUGUCCUCGACGGUAAUUUGCUCAAGUGCAUCACCAAACGUAAGGGUGAAUUGGUCACCCUUCAGGAGGCCAUUGCCGACGGCAUCGUGUUGCCGGCAGAGUGCAAGUACCGCGACUUUAUGACCGGUGAGCUGAUCAGCAUUCCAGAGGCGGUGGAACGCGGUCUGAUUAGCUCGGUGGCGCAGCGUUCGAUCUUCGAUAUUGACGGGUUCAAGGAUCUAAGGAGCAAUGACUAUGUAAGCUUUAAUGUGGCCCUCUCUCGUGACCUUUUGCGUCGCAAGAGCACGGGCUUUGCCUUAGAGACGGGUAGGGAUAGUCUGGUGCCACUAGAGGUGGCUGUUAGCGAGGGACUGGUGCGCCAGGAGGUGUACGAGAUGUUUAGCCGCGGCAUUGGUGUUCAAAAUGCCAGUGGCACUGAGCUUAGCGUCUUUGAUUUGGUCUAUCACAAUCUGAUUGACCCGAAGACUGGUUAUCUUUUGGAUCCCAAGACCGGGGAGACAGUGCCCCUGGACACAGCCAUUGAGCGGAAGUUUAUCACACCCGAGGGUGCUCUCCUACUAAGUAGUUUGCUCAAUAUCACUUUGACAACGGAAACAGUGACGCGGACGAUCAAUCGUUAUGUGACAAUAAGAGCUGGUUCCCAGGAGCCAGUCGACAGUGUGCUGCUCACCUUCACGGAGGCAGUGCGGCAAGGUUUCAUUGACGAGGAGAGACAACUCUUCAAAGAUCCCAAAACGGGCAAUAUUUACUCAGUGCAGCAGGCCCUAAACUAUGGCUUGUUAGUUCCCGAUAGCAAUCAAACAGUUCCGGAGCCAACAAAUAGGAAAAAAACAAAAUCCACUAUUACCAUUGUGACCAAGCAAAUCAUACCUGAAGCAGAGCCCAUUAAGCUUAACACACAGCACACCAAGUACGUCGAGAAGUCGGUGGAGAUUCCAAUUUCCCAGGAACUAGUAAAGCCGCAUCGUGUAGUCUCCGAAUUUAUCAAUUUAGAAAAGUCCAGCUAUAUCGAACAAAAUGUAACAGAGCGUCAGAUCAUGGAGCUGCCUCCAGGAGGAUGGCGAUUAAAGGACGCCAUUGAGCAGCGCCUGUUUAAUCCAGACACGGGGGUAUUCCAUGUGCAAGGCACUGAUCGAUUGGUUAACUUUGGGGAGUGCAUCAACAAGCAGAUAAUUAACAAGCUAUCGCUUUCCGUAAUUGAUCCCAGCACUGGCGACAAGAUCUCCGUGCAGUCCGCCUUUGAACGUGAUAUUUUGGACAGUUAUGGCAACUAUACGAAUAGCAGAAAACAGGUGCAGGGCAUGCGCAGUGCCAUUGACGAGAGUAAGAUCAUUCUGGAAACUGUGCCGGCUACAAGAGGUGCCAACCAAAAGACAAUACUUCGCAUCACUAAAGUAAACAACAUUCCGGAUGUGUUGGAGGUCUCCACACCCCUGAAGGAUGCCCCGCCCAAGUUUGUAGAGGUGCUCACCUGCCAACGAGAGCUAGCUUCUCCAGAGCCCCUACAAAUUGCACCGGGCGCCAUCUAUGAUCCGUCCACUGCCCUAGUGAUCUUCACGCAAACCGGAGAGACUGAAAAUAUCUUUGAAGCCGCCCGUCAGGGUCUGGUGGAUGAGCAGCUAAUUAAAAUUGUGGAUCCGACAACCAAGCAACCCAUUUCCGUCACAGAGGCGAUAGCGCGUUCCAUUUACGAUCCCAAGACAGCCACUAUUCUCGAUUCUGAGGGACAACCUGUCGACUUGAUCACAGCAACUAAAUUGGGACUAUUGAGUGUCGUAGGUGCUCCAUUGGUUGCUGCCGAAGGAGCCCUAAGAACUGUGCGUUUCGUCACAGAUCCACGAACUGGCGAGCAAAUUCCAGUGGAGGUGGCUUACGAGCGAGGCAUUGUCUCUCGGGAUCAGUUGCAUCGCGGAAGGUCCUUUGACAGUGAACCGACAACGGUCGAGGACAAGGUUGUAGUCCUGCAGAGAAUGCGCAAGGUCAUUCUCAAGCCGAAGGAUGCUUUACGUAAGGGAAUCAUCGACGAGGAAACCUGUGAAAUACUUGAAAACACAAGUAACUUUACUAAUCCCAAAGGAGAGGUGGUUAACAUAACCGAGGCGCUAAACACGGGACUUAUUGAUGGACGUCGCGGUCAGGUCAUCGAUCCUCAGAACAAUAGAGUUUUAAAUUUGAGGCAAGCAGUGGAGCAGAAGAUUAUUGAUUCCGAGCAAACUAACCAUAUUCUCAUGCCGUUGGCCAAGAGCUUAUCUGUGCCGCGUCUGGCAGGUCAGGGAUUAAUUGAUCCGCAAACACAAACCAUUGUGCAUCCGGAGAGUGGUUAUCCUCUUAGCAUCCAUGAGGCCAUAGUUUGCGAGGUCUUGGAUCCGCAUUCAAAACUACAUAAGCCCGAAAAAUGCACUCUAGAGGAGGCGAUCACCAAGGGCAUUAUCAAUGCAGAUGAUUCCACAUUCAGCUAUAAGAACAAGACACUUAACAUUACUGAAGCCAUUGAAGAGAAGCUUUUCGAUCCCAGCUACGAUCAGCAAAAAUCCAAGGUGGAAAUUCCUCCGGUGGGUAUGAUAUUCCCCGUUGCUGUGGAAAAGAGCCUUGUGGAACCGUCGAAGCGUGUUGUUCUGCACCCAAGUACAAAGAAAGCACUUCCAAUCAAGCAAGCCAUCGAAGAAAACUUCAUUAUGUCCAUUCCAUAUUCACCAAAGCCCGAUGCUAUUGAGGUGGUGACUGCCUUGGAGCGAGACCUCAUCGAUGUGGCUUCCCAAACCCUGACUGUUCCGUCCACUGGUGAACGUAUACCUCUUCGACAAGCUAUGGAAAAUGGUAUUCUGGUGGUAAAAAAUCUCUCAGAUUUUGUGAUUACCCAAAAACCCAUUCCCAAAACGGAGAUCAUGGAGACGGUGCGUGCUGUGCACACAGUGACUACUAAAACCAUUGAGCUUAUGCAAGGCUACGUUCUCAUUUCGAACAAUGAAGUUCAGUACGUUAGCACCGGCGAGGUGUGCAGCUUGGAGGAAGCUAAGGAGCUAGGAAUCCUGCGCGAAGAAUCCACAACUCGGGAGACAAAAGCAGCGGCCGGCGAAAGUCCGGAAUCGAUUGGCGCCGUUGUUACCAGCGGCGAUCAAACUGUAAUUGUGGAAGAGCGCACCCAGACAGUGGUGGUCAGUUCGGAUACCCGCAAGCAAGAAAUGCAAGUAGUCAGCACUACGCAAUCCACCAAGGACACAUCCGUUCCAAUUGUGAGUGAAAUCGAGACAAAGGCCAGCAAGGAGCCAUCGAAGACGUUGCAAAAUGUAAAAGAUGCCGCCAAAUUGGGUGCACUGGGCGUAAUCGCAGCUCCUGUACUGGCCGGAGGUGCCAUCGUAAGUGGCGUUAAAAGUCUAAUUAAAUCUGUGAAAUCUCCCACGGAAGAUGCCAAGACCACUGCAAAACCUAAUGAACCUCAAACCAGCUUCAUUGAACCGGAGCGCCGCAAAGAGCUACAGCCGCAACAAGUGCCAAGUGAGGUGGAUAGUCUCCUCAGUGAAACGGAGAACUUUAUCAGCUCCACGACUGCCAACUUUAUUGCCAACGAAAAACAGCAGGAUAAGCCCGAUACGCUGCCACAGAAAAGAGAUCCGUUCGAAGUUGAAUCAACAAGCACUUUGACCACCACAACAGUAACAACAAUUACAACAUCAAGUACCACAACGGAAACCGGAAAUCAGGAGCCAGUAGUGGUGGAGGAUGUGUCGACCACGGUUAAGGAGAAUACGGUGGUAGUCGAGCCGAGUAAAGUGCCAGAAGAUAAAACAGAGGUUUCAAAGACAACUGAAACCAUAACCACAGUGAUUACUAAUAAAACAGAUACUGUUCCAGAAAAUAUAUCACAGGAACAAACUUCCGAGGAGUCAGCAAAGAAUGAGCCGGAGGUUCCAAAAGACACAAGUUCCAGGCCAGCUGAAACGGAGGCAUCUCCCAAGCCCGUUCAAAAGGAACUAACUCCCGAGCCAGCUCCAAAUGCAGAAUUCACCGAAUCAGUUAAGAAAGAUCUAACUCCUAAGCCGGAAUACAAGGAAAACACUACACAGCUAGCACAGAUUACAUCAAAAGAUAUUUCCCCUGCACCAACCAGUGAGAACGAACAUUCAGCUGAACCUACUUCAAAGCCAGAGCCAAUGCCCAGAGCCGCUAAAAAGGAAGAUAUUUCGGAAAUUGAGCCUCCCUUCACGGCACCACUAGCUCCAUUCGUUGAUCAAGUUUCAGACACCAAGAUCACCGAAAUUAAAACAGAAAUUGAAGAGCCCGUUACAAGUUCACAAACUAUCACAACUAUUACCACAACGGUAAAAACAGUCGAUGAGCAUCCUACAGUCGAAGAAGUAUCUGGAAUUAACAAAUCUGAGAACAUUGUGGAUGUGCAAGCUAAGGAACCAGCCGUCCAAAAACCGGUAAAGGUGAAUGAGACGAGCGAUGAUACCACUAGGCCUGAACCUACUAGUGAAAUAGUGCUUGAAGAAAGAGUUGUCACUGUCGAAAAACCAACCAUCACAGAAACUACUGUGACAACAACAACUAUCACAACAACGACAUCUUUAGGCAGUGCGGAAGCCCUGCCUCAGGCGGAGAGUACACCCACAGUAAAGGAAACGCCUUUGAAUGAGCCGGUGCCUUCAUCCCUAGUUCAACCUACAGAGAUUAAGCAGAUAACUCAAGGUGAUGAUAAGAAACCUGUAGAAAUUGUAGACACCGCAAGAAAAACGCCGGAGCAGGAGCCGGUGAAAACUAUCCCAGCUGAACCAUUUAGCACAUCUGAAACAACAGAGACUAUUACCACCAAGACAACCAUUGUUGAAGAAGAAAAACUACAUCAACCGAGCGAUCUUGAGCAAAUUAUUCAACCGCAGACAAAUCCGGAAAAACAUCAAUCAAUUGUCGAUUUCAUAGAGCAAGAGAAGAGCACACAGCCAGCGGAAAGUGGCAGCAAAAUUUUGCAGAAUGUCAAGGAUGCAGCCAAACUUGGCGCUCUAGCCAUUGUAGGAGCACCAGUUCUUGCGGGCAAGGCUUUAGUAGAUGCCCUGACCACAGAAAAGACGGUAAAGCCAGAACACUCCACAACACAAGUUGUGACCGAGACAGUGGAAGAAUUACCAACAGAGAUAAUUUCCACCAGCACCGCUACACUAGUUACCAAAGUCACCACUACGACUACCACUACAACGACAUCCACGAGUGAGGGCACUCCCGAUGAUGAGGCUCGGGACGUAGUUACACUGCCUACUGAAUUGGUGGAUAGUUCUGUGAAGCGAGAAGUGCCAAGGACACUGGCCAUUGGCGAUGCAAUCUCCCAAAAAUUGAUUAGCCCCGAUGAGUGCCAGGUGAUAGUAGACGGAGAACAGCAAUCGCAGACCGUUUCCACGCUACUCAAGGAGGAGCAGCUGAGCCCAUUAGACGAAGUACAGAUCAUUGACGACAAACUAAUUGUUUUGCAACAGGUGUCUUACCUGGUAGACGCAGACACGGAACUGACGCCGCAAAAUUUGUAUGAACUUAACAUCUAUGAUCCCGAGAAUCAAUACUUUAUUGAUCCUAGUACUGGCCAGAAGAUUUCCUUCCAUACGCUGGUAUUUGACAUGAAUGUUUUUAACCCGGAAACUAUUUUGGUGAAAAACUUUAGUACCGGCAAAUACGAGACUCUUACAGCAGCUUUGGAGCGUCCACUUCUGGACAGGCACACAGGUCACAUGGUCGAUCCCAAGACAGGCAAGAAAAUCCCAUUCUUCGAGUGCAUUGACCGCCAAUGGAUUAUCCGAGCCAAUCCCGAGGAGCAAAAGCCAUCGGGCAUCGAGAACGUGACAAUAGACACACAGACAGGACAGGUGGUUCUUGACGAUGGUCGGGUUUGCUCCAUUGUUGAGGCCAUCAACAGUGGCAAGCUGGACAUUCAGUCGAUAUCGGUGCGCGACCCAGUCAGCGGUGAGGUGAUUCCACUGCGUAUGGCAAUUGAGUUGGGGGUGGUAGACAUGCAGGCGGGCACAGUGAUAGACAUUCAGACCCUAAAAGAGAUUCCCAUGGAGCUGGCCUUCCAGCUGGGCUUCUUAGUGCCCGGUGCACGCAAACCCAUUUCCUUGGAAGCCGCCGUUCGCAAAGGUCUUUACGACCCCGAGACGGGAAAACUCUUCGACUCAGAGAGUCAAAAUCAAGUUGAUGUUCAGAAGUCAAUUGAAAUUGGUUUAGUUGACCCCAAAAUAUCAUUGAUUGUGGAUACUGUUACAAAGAAGGAAGUCAAGCUGGAUUGUGCCAUCGAAGACGAUUUGGUGCUGCCCGCCACGGGCCAAAUUAAAGACAAUAAGAACAACACUCUGGUGCCCUUCGAUGUCGGUGUACAACAGCGUUUGCUGAAAACCGACAACGUCACCUGGAGCCUGCCAGAGCUCCUUCAGCGGGAAUACUACACGCCCAGCACUGGCAAGGUCCUUAAUCCUGUCACCGGCGAGGAGAUUCUUCUUCAGCAGGCUAUUGAAAUGGGCUUUGUGGAGCUAGAAACGACGUUAGUCAAGGAUGUCGAUCACGAUAAGAUUUUGCCCGGCAAGGAGGCGGCCAAGGUGGGUCUUCUGGACACUGUUCGAGGAACACUGAGUUCGCCCAACAUUAGUCUCGACGAGGCCUUCGUAAAGGGUUACCUUAUAAGCACCAAAAAGCCACUGUCCCUGGUCGAUUGUCUGCUGCGUGGUCUUUACGAUCCUUCAACAGCAAAGUUCACCAUCGACGACAAGCAGUUGGACUUGAAGACCGCCAUUGCCCAGAAGCUCAUUAAUCCCGAGGAGCUGGUGUUGCUUGAUCCUAAGACAGAGUCUAUUAUUUCCAUUACAGAAGCGAUCGCAAAGGGUUAUCUUGACCCGAUUGAGGGAUAUGUGAUUAACCCAUAUGCCUCUACAAAACUGUCCCUCCACGAAGCCCUAGAGAAUCGCAUUCUCAUCCCGCCCAAGCGAAAGCGCAGUUUGCCCGAUGCUGUCUACCGUGGUCUUUACGACCCCAAGACUGGUCAAUUUAGCAACACGGUGACCCGCGAGAAGCUCACAACUGAACGUGCCAUUCGUAGAGGCAUCCUCGAUCCCGAUUCGACGGUCGUCAAUGUAGGUUCGGGACAGAUCAUUCCAUUUGGGGUGGCCACUGAGACAGGAAUCGUGGACAGUAAACAUGGUACAGUGAGGGAUACCGAUGAUCACUCGAUUGACUUUAAGGAAGCAUUCGAUCGGGGUAUUUUGGUCGAAGCCAAGAAGCCACUACGUCUUAUUGAGGCUGUGGUGAAGAAUGUCUACGAUGAGGUGGACGGACACUUUGUCGAUCCGAAGUCGGGCGAGAAGCUGAACUUUGCCGAGGCCCUCAACACUAAUUUACUAGACGAGCAUAGUGUGCAGAUCAGGGACUUCAAGACUGGUCUGUACAAGCAGCUGAACCUAACGCACGCUAAAGACAAUGGCAUUAUCGAUGCCCAAAAUUCCAAGCUACUGUAUAACAACCAGACCAUGACCCUUAAGCACGCCUUUGAUAUUGGAAUCCUAAUGGAUGUCAACGCGCCUAUCAGUAUUCAGAGAGCAAUUCAUCAGGGACUAUUCGACGACAAAACCGGAAAGCUAAGCGAUCCCAGAACUGGUCGCCAGAUUACAUUACUCGAGAGCAUGCGCAGUUUUGUGGUUAAUCCUCACCUGCCCUGCUACUUCGACGAGCAGACAGAACAGAUGUACACUCUUAGCGAGACCUGUAGGAAUGGCAUCAUUAAUAGAAGGGAAGGUGUCUUCCGGGAGCCGGGAAGCAAUUCGUUUGUUCCUUUGGGCGAGGCCUUAAGCCUGGGCCUAAUUGUGGACAUUGAGAACGCCGGCUUUGGUCUGUACGAACUACUGUCGAUGGGCUUCUAUGAAACUUCCACACGUAAGGUUCUGCAUCCAGUCACAAAUCGCAAACUUAAUCUCAACGAAGCAUGCGUGGAGGAUGUAGUAAGCUUGUCGUCCAGCUUAGUCAAACACCACGAGACCGGCAAGUACCUUCGGUUAGCCAAUGCAAUCAAGGAGCAGUUAAUUGAUGACUCUAGUGGUUGUUACAAUCUGGGCAAGGAACAGUUAGAUCUCCAGGCAGCUAGGGCCAAGGGUUUUAUUGUUUCCAAUCGUCGCCUUCUCAGCCUUGAACUCGUUUUGCGCCAACAACUUUAUCGCCCCGAAACAGGCAAAUUCUGCGAUCCAACAACCGGUGAAUAUCUCGACUUAAUCGAAGCCAUACAUUCGGGUUUCAUAGACCCCGCGACUACCGUAUUCAAAAACCAACUUACUGGUAAGGAGUUGCCGCUGACUGAAGCUAUUGAGAACGGGGAUAUUGAUGUGACCAAGGGUAGAGUAUUUGAUCCCAAGUCUAAGUCAGCUUAUAACUACGACGUGGCACUUUCGCGCGGAAUUCUAGUUACCAUUUCUCGGCCACUAACCGAUCGCAAUGACGUGGUGCGUCGCCAGGAUAGCGUCGAACUAUUAAGUCAAACACCGGUUAGCGUUGUGAUUAGCAAACCUCGUGAAAUGUCUCUCGAAGAGGCCAUUCGUUAUAACAUAAUCGACCCCAAGACCGCGCUCGUUCGCGAUUUCGAUAGCUUUAAGUUCCUGCCUUACUCGGUAGCCGUGGAACGCGGUCUCGUGGACACCACCAAGCGCACACUUGUGGAUCCAAAGGCCCUGUUCUUUGCCUUCGAUCCCACAUUAAUAGUUUACGUACGUGAACCGGUCACCUUUGACCAGGCGGCCGAGUCCAAGUGCCUGGACUUGCAGACCGGAAUGCUGACCUAUGUGCCAGCGAGUGGACCUGGAUCCGCACCAGCGGCAUCAGCCAGCGACGAUAGCGCAAACGAUUCGCUGACUGUCAUCGAGACGCCCAAGGUAUACACGCUCAAGGAGGCCGCCAGUGCGGGUGUGGUGGAUCCCGACUCCGCUCUAGUCAAGGACUUGGCCAAGGCCAAGCUGGUCCGUUUGCCAGAGGCCUUCCGAAAAGGCUUAAUGGAUGCCAACAAGGCGAACGUACUCAACACCCAGACCUCGAAGCUCUGCACCCUGCAAGAGGCCUACGAAAGUGGCCUGAUCUGCACGCCUAAGCGCUCAUUCGGUUUGCUAGAAGCCAUCACCUUCAACUUGUACAACCCAACCAAUGGCUGCCUAGUUGAUCCCUUCCAAAUGCAUCCAGACAUCAUCCGGCGCCGCAAGUUCACGCUGGCCGAGGCCAUUGGCUCAGGUUUGGUCGAUCCUUCGUCGACAGUGGUGCGUGACCCCAGCACUGGGGUCAUUGUCCCACUGACGGCUGCCAUUAGCAGUGGGCUCAUCGAUGCCACCGAGGGACGCCUAACCGACGCCAAUGAGCCGAAGAACAACAUCGACCUAGUGAAGGCCGCCGAGAAGGGUCUGCUCCUGCCGGCAGAACAGAGGCAAGCAGUAUUCGAGAAGUUCAACAUGUGCGAAGAGAAUGUCAACGAUCUGUUGAAAUGGGUCACCACUGUGGAACAGAAAAUCUCAAGUGUCGGCGGUCCUCGCGAAAAGAUCGAUGAGUUGCGUAACCAGAUUAAUGCCCUUAAGCAAAUCAAGGAUGAGAUCGAGUCUCAGCAGCGGCCAGUAGCCACUUGUUUGGAGCAAAUCCGUCAGAUCGUGCUCACCGGUGGUGAUGUUUUGUCUGCCCCCGAAGUGACCACUCUGGAGAACUCUGGCCGGGAGUUGCGUUCGCGAGUGGAUCGUGUCAACGAUCGCACCGUGCGCCUGCUCCGCCGCCUGGAAGCAGGUCGAGAUGAGCUCACCAAACUGCGCAGCGAGUUGGAUGUAUUUUCCGAUUGGUUGCAAGUCGCCCGACGCACUUUGGAGGACAAGGAGCGUUCCCUGUCCGACCUGACUCGGCUUCCCUCUCAGGCCGAUUCGGUUCGGGAGUUUGUCAGCGAUGUGAUUGGCCACCAGGCCGAUUUGCGCUUCAUCACAAUGGCCGCACAGAAGUUUGUGGACGAGAGCAAGGAGUUCUUGGCCAUACUCAACGACUUCCGUACUUCACUGCCCGAACGCUUGCCUCAUGUUGAGCCACUGUCCAGUGCCGAGAGUCCCAUACGCCAAGAGGUAUCGCUGGUCUCGGCGCAAUACAAGGACCUGUUGAACCGAGUAAACGCUCUGCAAGAUCGCGUCUCUGGUUUGGGUGGACGCCAGCGUGAGUACCAGGAUGCAUUGGAAAAGGCUAACGAGUGGCUGAGAAGUGUGCAUCCGCGUGUUUCGCGCAUUAUCUCUGAGCCGAUUGCCGGCGAUCCUAAGGGAGUACAGGAUCAGAUGAACGAAGCCAAGGCUCUACACAAUGAGCUGCUUUCUAGUGGUCGUUUGGUGGACAAUGCGCAGCAGGCUCUUGAUAAUCUGCUGCGCAGCCUUGGUGGCCAACUUAGUCCAAUGGAGAUCAAUCAGUUGGAACUGCCUAUUGCCGAUCUGAAGAACAACUACCAGCAGCUGCUGGAUAAUCUGGGCGAGCAUUGCAAAACUCUGGACAAGACUUUGGUGCAAUCGCAGGGCGUACAGGAUGCUUUGGACAGUCUAGUGGGAUGGGUUAACCAGGCCGAGGAUAAAUUCAAGUUGAAUCUGCGACCCGCGUCGCUUAUCAAGGAGCGUCUGCAGGAGCAGAUCCGCGAGCACAAGGUCUUGCUAGCCGAUCUACAAUCCCACCAGGCCAGCAUUGACAGCGUUCAAGUCUCAGCAAAACAUCUGCUUGCCAGCGCUUCGAAUGCCCGCAUUGCUAAGAAGGUGGAAUCGAAUCUGAACGAUGUGACCGUCAAGUUUGAGAAGCUCUAUGAGAAGGCCAACAAGCGUGGUGAAUUCUUAGAUGACGUUUACAACCGAUUGAGCAGGUAUCUGGAUGAAAUCAGCACUGUGGAGCAGCGUAUGGCCAGCUUACAGGAGGCUCUAGAUAGCCGUGAAACCAGCCUACUUUCAACUGAGGAGUUGGCUCGCCGUAUGAACGAACUGUCCCGUGAAAAGGACCAACUGGCUCCACAGUUUGAGGAUUGCGUGCGCAGUGGCAAGGAUUUAAUUAGCCUGCGAGAUGUCACCGACACUGGAGUUUUGCGCGAUCGCAUCAAGGCACUGGAAUCUCAGUGGCGCAACAUCAACAUCAGCAUCGAUGAGCGCGCCAAGCUGUCCAAGCAAAAGGCCGAGCAGCAGCUGGCCUACGAGGGUCUAAAGGAUCAGGUGCUAUCCUGGCUGGCCAGCACUGAAGCGCGAGUUAACGGCCUUCCGCCGGUAGCUAUCGAUCUGGACAAAAUUAAGCAGCAGCACGACGAGCUAAAGCCCAUAUGCAAGGAUUACCGCGACUAUGCACCAACUAUUGACAAAAUUAACGAUAUUGGAGCACAGUAUGAUGCGCUGAUCCGCCCAGAGAGUCCUGCCCGCAAACGCUCCACCUAUAGCCCGAUUAAGCGGGCCAGUCCGUUGCGCCGCAUGUCCGGAGACGCUAGAAGCCCCAGCCCCACCAAGGGAGGCAUUCUGUCGCCACUAUCGACUGGUUCCAGUGGAUUCGGUAGCCGCAGAUCCUCCCAGGAUGGUUUCCAGCUGUCUGAGCUAUCUCCGGUGCAGCAGCAGCUGAGCGAGAUCAACAAUCGCUACGGGCUGAUUGGCGUGCGCCUCAAUGAUCGCCAACACGAACUGGACAACCUGAACGAGGAGCUACGCAAGCAGUACGAGAAUCUAAAGGGACUAGCUCAGUUCCUGGAGCGCAUUCAGCGUCAAUUACCCAAGGAGUCCGUAUCAAACAAGGACGAGGCAGAGCGCUGCAUUAAGCAGGCGCGCAAGAUCCUUGAGGACAUGUACGAGAAGCAGAGCCUUCUUGAUACCACCAAGGCUCAGGUGAAGGAUAUCCUCCGCCGCAAGUCCGAUGUGCCCGGCGCCGAACAAUUGCGCCAGGAGAAUGAUAGCAUUCAAGAGAAGUGGAAGAAUCUCAAUGACAUCUGCAAGAACCGCAUAGCUUUCUCUGAGAAGCUGCGUGACUUUUUGGACACCCAUGGAAAUCUGAAGAGCUGGCUGGACAGUAAGGAACGUAUGCUAACCGUGCUGGGACCCAUCUCUUCUGAUCCCCGUAUGGUCCAGAGCCAGGUGCAACAGGUGCAAGUGCUUCGCGAGGAAUUCCGCACUCAGCAACCCCAACUGAAGCACUUCCAGGAGCUCGGACAUGAUGUUGUCGACCAUUUGGCCGGCACACCCGAUGCCCAGGCCGUCGAAACUAAGCUGAAGGACAUUCUGGGCAAGUGGGAUGAUCUAGUUGGAAAGCUAGACGACCGUGCCAAUAGUUUGGGCGGUGCAGCUGACAGUUCCAAGGAGUUCGACGCUGCUGUCAAUCGCUUGCGUGAGGCUCUGCAAAACAUUAGCGAUAAUCUGGAUUCUUUGCCCACCGAUGGCGAUCAUCAGGAGAAUCUACGCAAGAUCGAAAACUUGGAGCGACAGCUUGAGGGUCAACGCCCGCUGUUAGCCGAUGUAGAGCAAUCCGCCGCCACCUUGUGCAAUAUUCUGGGUGAUCCCGCCUCGCGUGCCGAUGUCAACUCUCGUGUCGCAGCUCUGGAGAAGCAGUAUUUGGCGCUCCAGAAGAAACUGGACACAAAGAAGGCAGAAACGGAGGCUUCCCUCCGGGAUGGCCGCCACUUUGCCGAGAAUUGCUCAAAGACUCUUGGUUGGUUGGGAGGAGAGCUCUCUAACUUGACCGACAGGCUGCUGGUCUCUGCUCAUAAGCCAACACUGCAGCACCAGAUCGACACCCAUGAGCCGAUCUACCGUGAGGUAAUGGCCCGUGAACAUGAGGUUAUUAUGCUAAUCAACAAGGGCAAGGAUCUAACCGAUCGCCAGCAGGAUCGCGGAGUUAAGCGUGAUUUGGAUCGCAUCCAGCAGCAGUGGGAGAAACUGCGCCGUGAAGCCGUCGAUCGUCACACACGACUACAGACGUGCAUGGAGCACUGCAAGAAGUACUCGCAAACUUCGGAGACAUUCCUGGCCUGGCUGCGCACCGCCGAGGAUAAAUUGGCUGAUCUUACACCCGGCGUGUUGUCCAAGGCUAAGCUGGAGACUCGUCUACGUGAUCUACAGACCUUCCGUAGCGAAGUAUGGAAGCAUUCCGGCGAAUUCGAAAACACCAAGGGAUUGGGAGAGACAUUCCUCACAAGCUGCGACAUCGAUAAGGAGCCCAUUAAGGCGGAGCUUCAGGACAUCCGUGAUCGUUGGGAGCGACUUAACAAUGAUCUUAUUGCCCGCGCUCAUGAAAUUGAGAACUGCUCGCGUCGCUUGGGCGAUUUUAAUGAUGAGUUACGAAACCUGGAUCAUUCUUUAGGUCGCUGCGAGGAUCGACUUGCUGCCCACGAUGCUCUCGGUGGAGCUGCCAAGGAUCCAAAACUCUUGGAGCGUGUUAAGGCCAUACGCGAGGAGCUCACUAACUUGAGCAAGCCUUUGCAGUCACUGAAGGCUUUGGCCAAGGAUAUCAGUGCUGAGGCUAGGGCUGCUGGCGGAGAUGCUGACCAUUUGACCAGCGAAGUCGAUGGUCUGGCCGAUCGCAUGUCCGAGUUACAGGGUCGCCUGGAUGAUCGAUGUGGAGAACUGCAAUCUGCAGCCACCGCAGUGUCCCAAUUCAACGAACAAAUGAAGAGUUUGGGCAUUGAUCUGAACGAUCUGGAGACAGAGAUUGAAAAGCUUUCACCGCCCGGCCGUGAAAUCAAGAUUGUGCAAGUGCAAAUCGACGAUGUUGGCAAGAUCCAAAACAAAUUAGAUCGCCUUGUUGGUCGUUUGGAGGAUGCCGAACGUGCCGCAGAUGUUUUGGUAGAUGCAGGAUUCGCUGCAGACACCACCCAGACCCGAGAGCAAAUCUCAACCCUUCGAAAGACGUUGGGUCGUUUGGACAACCGAGUUCGCGAUCACGAGGAUAAUCUUCAGGCCACUUUGAAAGCACUCCGCGAAUUCUACGACAAUCAAUCUCAAACUCUGGAUGACAUUCAAGACGUGAGCGAUGAGUUCAAGCGCAUGAAGCCCGUGGGCUCGGAGUUGGAUCAGAUUCGCCGCCAACAAGAGGACUUCCGUAACUUCAGGGAGCGUAAGGUCGAACCGCUGGCUAUCAAUGUUGACAAAGUAAAUGUUGCUGGCAGAGACCUAGUGCGUUCGGCUGGCAGUGGUGUUUCCACCACGGCCAUUGAGAAGGAUUUGGAAAAGCUAAACGACCGCUGGAACGAUUUGAAGGAGCGAAUGAACGAGCGCGAUCGCCGUUUGGAUGUGGCUCUGCUGCAAUCUGGAAAGUUCCAGGAGGCGUUGGCUGGUCUAUCCAAGUGGCUCAGUGACACCGAAGAAAUGGUGGCUAAUCAGAAGCCGCCCAGCUCCGACUAUAAGGUGGUAAAGGCACAGCUGCAGGAGCAAAAGUUCCUGAAGAAAAUGCUGUUGGAUCGCCAGAACUCUAUGGGCUCCCUAGCCAAUCUCGGCAAGGAAGUGGCAAAUCAUUGUGAACCCUCCGAACGUGCCUCCAUUGAGAAACAAUUGAACGAUUUGAUGAAGCGAUUCGAUGCCCUGACCGACGGUGCCGAGCAACGUGAGUUGGACCUUGAGGAAGCCAUGGAGGUGGCUAAGCGAUUCCAUGACAAGAUCAGUCCCUUGGAACUUUGGCUGGACAACACAGAGCGAUCUGUUAAGGCAAUGGAACUGAUACCUACCGACGAAGAGAAGAUCCAGCAGCGUAUCCGCGAACACGAUCGUCUGCAUGACGAAAUCUUGGGCAAGAAGCCCGACUUUUCCGAUCUUGCUGAUGUGGCCGCCCAGCUGAUGCAUUUGGUUAGCGACGAGGAGGCCGUUAAUCUGGGCGAGAAAGUGCGCGGUGUGACUGAGCGGUACACAGGAUUGGUGGAUGCCAGCGACAACAUUGGAGCUCUGCUAGCCGAAUCGCGACAGGGAUUGCGUCACCUGGUCUUGAGUUAUCAGGAUUUGGUGGCCUGGAUGGAAAGUAUGGAAGCGGAGCUGAAGCGCUUUAAGUCAGUUCCCGUGUACGCUGAAAAGCUGCUGGAACAGAUGGAUCAUCUGCUGGAGCUUAACGAAAACAUUGCCGGGCAUGCUUCAAAUGUGGAAUCAACUGUGGAAUCCGGAGCCGAGCUCAUGAAGCACAUCUCCAACGAUGAGGCUAUCCAACUGAAGGACAAGUUAGACUCCCUACAACGUCGCUAUGGUGAUUUGACCAAUCGUGGUGGAGAUCUGCUGAAGAGUGCACAGAAUGCACUGCCAUUAGUGCAACAAUUCCAUGAAGCUCACAACCGUUUGGUGGAAUGGAUGCAAAGUGCUGAGGCUGCUCUUGCUCCCAGUGAGCCACGUCAAGCUGAUGUGCUUCGGCUGGAAGGUGAAUUAGCUGAUAUGCGUCCUAUUCUGGACAGCAUCAAUCAAGUGGGACCCCAGCUGUGUCAGCUGUCCCCGGGAGAAGGUGCUGCCACCAUUGAGAGCAUUGUGACCCGGGACAACCGUCGCUUCGAUUCCAUUGUGGAGCAAAUCCAACGCAAGGCGGAGCGUCUACACCUGAGCAACCAGCGCGCCAAGGAAGUAACUGGUGACAUUGAUGAACUUCUUGAGUGGUUCCGCGAAAUGGACACUACACUUCGCGAAGCUGAUCUGCCUGCCAUGGAGCCCAAGUUGGUGCGUGCCCAAUUGCAGGAGCAUCGUUCCAUCAACGAUGACAUUUCCAGCCAGAAGGGACGUGUACGAGAUGUAACGGCGGCCUCCAAGAAGGUGCUCCGCGAGUCCCCACAAAGCGAGAACACUGCCACUCUUCGUGAGAAAUUGGAUGAUCUGAAGGAGAUUGUCGACACCGUUGCUCAAUUGUGCAGUGAGCGUUUGGGCAUCUUGGAACAGGCUCUGCCUCUAUCCGAGCAUUUUGCCGAUUCCCAUCAGGGACUGACCUCCUGGUUGGAUGACAUGGAACAACAGAUCUCGCGGUUAAGCAUGCCGGCUUUGCGCCCCGACCAGAUUACUCUGCAGCAAGACAAGAACGAACGUCUUUUGCAAUCCAUAGCCGAGCAUAAGCCUCUGCUAGACAAGCUGAACAAGACUGGUGAGGCUUUGGGUGCAUUGGUGGCCGAUGAUGAUAGUGCGAAGAUCAACGAGAUUUUGGACACGGACAAUGCCCGUUAUGCCGCACUCCGCUUGGAACUCCGCGAACGGCAGCAGGCGCUCGAGAGUGCGCUGCAGGAAUCCAGCCAGUUCUCCGACAAGCUGGAAGGCAUGCUACGUGCUUUGGCCAACACCGUGGAUCAGGUCAAUCAACUAGAUCCCUUGUCCGCUCUACCGCAAAAGAUACGUGAGCAGAUCGAAGAUAAUGAUGCUUUGAUGGAUGACCUGGAUAAGCGACAGGAUGCCUUCAGUGCUGUGCAGCGUGCGGCCAACGAUGUUAUCGCAAAGGCGGGCAACAAAGCUGAUCCCGCGGUCCGUGACAUCAAGGCUAAGCUGGAGAAGCUAAACAACCUCUGGAACGAUGUGCAGAACGCCACCAAGAAGCGCGGCAGCUCGUUGGACGACAUCCUUAACGUAGCCGAGCCCUUCUGGAAGCAAUUGAACAGCGUGAUGAAGACCUUAAAGGAUCUGGAGGAGACCCUAUCUUGCCAGGAGCCACCAGCGGCCCAGCCGCAGGACAUCAAGAAGCAACAGGUGGCGCUGCAGGAGAUUCGCCAUGAGAUCGACCAGACCAAACCAGAGGUCGAGCAAGUGCGACGUCACGGUAGCAACCUGAUGAACAUGUGCGGCGAGCCCGACAAGCCAGAGGUCAAGAAGCACAUCGAGGACUUGGACAACGCUUGGGACAACAUCACAGCGCUGUAUGCCAAGCGCGAGGAGAACCUCAUCGAUGCCAUGGAGAAGGCCAUGGAGUUCCACGAGACACUGCAGAACCUUCUCAAGUUCUUGACCAAGGCCGAGGACAAGUUUGCCCAUCUGGGAGCUGUGGGUUCGGACAUUGAUGCCGUCAAGCGACAGAUUGAACAACUCAAGUCGUUCAAGGAUGAAGUCGAUCCGCAUAUGGUUGAAGUAGAAGCAUUAAACAGAGGUCUCAAAAGACAAGCUGUGGAACUGACGGAACGCACUUCACCCGAGCAAGCGGCAUCGAUCCGCGAACCCCUGUCGGUGGUCAAUCGCCGCUGGGAGGCUCUACUCCGUGGCAUGGUCGAGCGCCAAAAGCAACUGGAGCACGCUCUGCUGCAUUUGGGUCAAUUCCAGCAUGCCCUCAACGAGCUGCUGGUCUGGAUCAACAAGACCGACAGCACUCUGGACCAACUGAAGCCGAUCCCUGGUGAUCCACAACUGCUGGAGGUUGAACUGGCCAAGCUAAAGGUGCUGGCCAACGACAUUCAGGCCCACCAGAACUCAGUGGACACACUGAACGAUGCGGGCAGACAGUUGAUUGAAACCGAGAAGGGAUCUGUGGAGGCCUCUACCACCCAGGAGAAACUGCGCAAACUGAACAACGAGUGGAAGCAGCUUUUGCAAAAGGCCAGCGACCGACAGCAUGAACUGGAGGAGGCUCUACGCGAAGCUCACGGAUAUAUCGCCGAGGUCCAAGAUAUUCUGGGAUGGCUGGGCGAUGUAGAUGCUGUGAUUGGAGCUAGCAAGCCUGUGGGCGGUCUUCCCGAGACUGCUACUGAACAACUGGAACGUUUCAUGGAGGUGUACAACGAAUUGGAUGAAAACAGGCCCAAGGUGGAGACGAUUCAGGCCCAGGGCCAGGAGUACAUCAAGCGUCAGAACCAGAUGAAGGUCUCUUCCAGCAAUUUACAGCAUACACUCCGCACGCUGAAGCAACGUUGGGAUGCCGUGGUAUCGCGGGCUUCGGACAAGAAGAUUAAGUUGGAAAUUGCACUCAAAGAAGCCACCGAGUUCCAUGACACACUGCAAGCCUUUGUUGAAUGGCUGACCCAGGCUGAAAAGCUGCUGUCCAAUGCCGAACCCGUCUCACGCGUCCUGGAAACCAUUCAGGCCCAGAUGGAGGAACACAAGGUACUGCAGAAGGAUGUGAGCACUCAUCGCGAAGCCAUGUUGCUGCUGGACAAGAAGGGAACUCACCUUAAGUACUUCAGCCAGAAGCAGGACGUGAUCUUGAUUAAGAACCUGCUCGUGUCUGUGCAACAUCGUUGGGAACGAGUGGUGAGUAAGGCCGCGGAACGCACUCGUGCUCUGGAUCACGGCUACAAAGAGGCUCGCGAGUUCAAUGACGCCUGGAGUGGCAUGAUGCAGUACCUGCAGGAAACCGAACAGGUGCUGGAUCAAAUCAUCGAGGAAGCCACUGCGUCCAAGGAACCGCAAAAGAUCAAGAAGUACAUUAGCAAGCUAAAGGAGACACACCGUCAGCUGGGUGCCAAGCAAUCGGUCUACGACGGAACCAUGCGCACCGGAAAGAAUCUGUUAGAGCGAGCCCCCAAGGGCGAUCGUCCAGUGUUGGACAAAAUGCUGAUCGAACUAAAGGAACAAUGGACUCGAGUGUGGUCUAAGAGCAUCGACCGCCAGCGGAAGCUGGAGGAGGCUCUGCUCCUUUCCGGACAGUUUAGCGAUGCUCUGGGUGAGCUUCUUGACUGGUUGAAGAAGGCUAAGAGCCGCCUGAACGAAAAUGGACCAGUUCACGGAGAUUUGGAGACGGUCCAAGGUCUGUGCGAGCAUCACAAGCACAUUGAGCAGGAUCUGCAGAAGCGCGCUGCGCAAAUGCAAGGAGUGCUCAAGACUGGUCGCGACCUGGAGCGAUCCGGAAACAAUCCCGAAGUUGGACGUCAGCUCGAUGAGAUGCAGUCCAUUUGGGAGGAGGUCAAGAGUGCCGUCGCCAAACGCGGCGAGCGUCUCCAGGUGGCCCUUGUUGAUGCCGAGAAGCUAAAUGCCCGUGUCCAGGCUCUCUUUGAUUGGCUGGAUCAUGCCGAACACAAGCUUCGAUAUGCCAAGAAUGCCCCUGACGAUGAAAAGGUGUCCCGUGAAAUGAUGGACAUCCACAUGGAGUUCAUGAAGGAUCUGCGAGUGCGCGAGCGUGAGAAGUCCGAGACAUUUGAGUACGCCGAAGACAUUAUCAACAAGGCCUAUCCCGAUGCCAUUCCGAUCAUCAAGAACUGGCUUUCGAUUAUCCAGCAGCGUUGGGAGGAGGUGCGCCAAUGGGCCAUCAACCGCGAGUCGAAGCUGGAGCAGCAUCUGCAGUCGCUCAAGGACUUGGACGACACCAUUGAGGAGCUGUUGGCGUGGCUCAGCGGACUUGAGGGCACCUUGUUGAACCUUAAGCACGAACAGCUGCCGGACGAGAUUCCACCCGUGGAGAAAUUGAUCGAAGACCACAAGGAGUUCAUGGAAAACACGGCUCGCCGCCAAAACGAAGUGGACCGCGCCUGCAAGCCAAGGCAGUUGCCACCAGGAGCGCGCAAGCCAUCCCGCAGCGGCAAGACGCCAGUUCGUGGCUCCAGUCACGAUCUGCGUGAGCAGUCACCCGACGGCACCCUGAGGCGUCAAAGCUUCAAGGGAUCUCGUGACCAGGGACUCAAUGCCCGCAAGGGAAGUCGUAUCACGCCCACACGUGACACGCCCGACAGAGAUCGCCUGCCUCACUACGGGCCCCGAUUCUCGCCAAGCACCUCUGGACCGGAACUUGAAUUCCGCUCGUCACGCGCGAAGCUUCUGUGGACGAAGUGGCGCGAUGUCUGGAUGCUCUCAUGGGAGCGUCAGCGGCUGCUUAACGAUCAUCUUUUGUAUCUGAAGGAUGUGGAACGUGCCCGCAACUUCAGCUGGGACGAUUGGCGUAAGCGCUUCCUUAAGUACAUGAACCACAAGAAGUCGCGUUUGACGGAUCUGUUCCGGAAAAUGGAUAAGGAUAACAACGGCAUGAUUCCGCGCGAUGUCUUCAUCGAUGGCAUACUCAAUACUAAAUUCGAUACGUCUGGCUUGGAAAUGAAGGCUGUAGCCGAUCUGUUUGAUCGUAAUGGCGAGGGCCUCAUCGACUGGCAAGAGUUUAUUGCUGCCCUUCGUCCCGAUUGGCAAGAGCGUAAACCAGCCAAUGAUUCGGACAAAAUACACGACGAGGUCAAACGCCUGGUCAUGCUGUGUACCUGCCGACAGAAAUUCCGCGUAUUCCAAGUUGGCGAGGGCAAGUACAGAUUUGGAGACUCCCAGAAACUGCGCCUGGUUCGUAUUCUUCGCAGCACUGUUAUGGUGCGCGUGGGUGGCGGAUGGGUUGCCCUGGACGAAUUCCUGCAGAAGAACGAUCCUUGUCGCGCCAAGGGACGCACUAACAUAGAGCUACGCGAGCAAUUCAUAUUGGCCGAUGGCGUCUCGCAGAGCAUGGCCGCAUUCACGCCCAGACGUUCCACGCCAAAUGCGGCCGCCACUGCCUCCUCCUCACCCCAUGCCCACAAUGGCGGCAGCUCCAACUUGCCCCCAUAUAUGAGUGGACAGGGUCCCAUCAUCAAGGUACGCGAGCGCUCCGUUCGCUCCAUUCCCAUGUCACGGCCGUCGCGCUCCUCACUUUCGGCCAGCACUCCCGACUCCCUGAGCGACAACGAGGGCAGCCAUGGAGGACCUUCCGGCCGAUACACACCCCGCAAGGUCACCUACACAAGCACGCGCACGGGCCUCACGCCAGGAGGAUCUCGUGCCGGCUCCAAGCCCAACUCGCGCCCGCUCAGCAGACAGGGAUCAAAGCCGCCAUCGCGACAUGGCUCCACGUUGUCACUGGAUAGCACGGACGAUCACACGCCCUCACGCAUUCCGCAACGCAAGCCAUCAACGGGCAGCACAGCCAGCGGAGCAACUCCGCGUCCGGCGCGACUUUCGGUGACCACCACGACGACUCCCGGAAGUCGCCUCAAUGGCACCAGCACCAUCACCCGCAAAACCGCCUCCGGAUCGGCUAGUCCGGCGCCUACAAGCCGGCCAUCACGGAUACCGAUUAAGAUACCCUCAUUCGAUUCCAAGUCAACAUCGCCCAGCUCGACUACGAAUCCAACCAGCUUGGGGUAAAGUUGAUAAGCUUACAACAAAGACAUUUACUAGUCAAUUUCAACUCAGUCUAUAGCAAGCGGAACAUCAGCGGUAGCUCAACGCCCUCCGGCAUGCAAACGCCCCGAAAGAGCUCAGCGGAGCCCACCUUUAGCUCCACAAUGCGACG
rnacentral:misc_RNA from 1 species